AAUCAACGCUGGCGGCGUGCCUCAGACAUGCAAGUCGAACGAUUAAAGCUCUCUUCGGAGAGUGUAUAGAGUGGCGCACGGGUGAGUAACACGUAAGUAAUCUACCCUCGAGUGGGGAAUAACAACCGGAAACGGUUGCUAAUACCGCAUAAUGCAGCGGCACCGCAAGGUGACAGUUGUUAAAGAUUUAUCGCUUGAGGAGGAGCUUGCGGCAGAUUAGCUAGUUGGUAGGGUAACGGCUUACCAAGGCUACGAUCUGUAACCGGUCUAAGAGGACGGUCGGUCACACUGACACUGAAUAACGGGUCAGACUCCUACGGGAGGCAGCAGUCGGGAAUUUUGGGCAAUGGGCGAAAGCCUGACCCAGCAACGCCGCGUGAAGGAUGAAGUAUUUCGGUAUGUAAACUUCGAAAGAAUAGGAAGAAGUUAAUGACGGUACUAUUUAUAAGGUCCGGCUAACUACGUGCCAGCAGCCGCGG
rnacentral:rRNA from 1 species